GACGAACGCUGGCGGCGUGCUUAACACAUGCAAGUCGAACGAAGAGCGAUGGAAGCUUGCUUCUAUCCAUCUUGGUGGCGAACGGGUGAGUAACGCGUAAUCAACCUGCCCUUCAGAGGGGGACAACAGUUGGAAACGACUGCUAAUACCGCAUACGAUCUAACCUCGGCAUCGAGGAAAGAUGAACGGCGGCCUCUAUGUAUAAGCUAUCAUUGAAGGUGGGGAUUGCGUCUGAUUCGCUAGUUGGCGGGGUAACGGACCACCAAGGCGAUGAUCAGUAGCCGGUCUGAGAGGAUGAGCGGCCACAUUGGGAGUGAGACACGGCCCAGACUGCUACGGGAGGCAGCAGGAGGGAAUCUUCCGCAAUGGACGGAAGUCUGACGGAGAAACGCCGCGUGAGUGAUGACGGCCUUCGGGUUGUAAAGCUCUGUUAAUCGGGACGAAAGGCCUUCUUGCGAAUAGUGAGAAGGAUUGACGGUACCGGAAUAGAAAGCCACGGCUAACUACGUG
rnacentral:rRNA from 1 species